rnacentral:lncRNA from 1 species
AUAUUUUAGCCAUAACACCACUCACGCUGGGGUCCUUUUUCUCCGUCGGUGGAGGCGGUGGACGCCUUGCAGCACCACUUGCCCUUUGCUCAUCAACCAAACCCAACCCCACCACUGCCGCACCACUCAACCCCACUAAUGUCCUACAUGCAAUAUUGUAAUUGUAAUAACAAUGCACCAUUCCUUAUUCCAUUUAAUUUCAAUAAAGCAUAACAAUAAUAAUAAAUUAAUAACAUUUGUUUAUUUUGAGAACUUAUAAAGUAUUACAAGUUUUGCAGUUGAUGCUGAUAAUAAAGGAGAUAGAUACCUGCGAUGCAGAGAGUGGCCACGAUGAGGAGGGACUUUAUUAAGAUCGGAGAUGGAAGAGGGCUGUGACUGUUGAUAUUGGUGAUGAAAGCAGCACACUUUUGACGUUGGAAAGUGACCAUUUUUCCAAGAAUAGAGGAGGCUCUUCCGGGCUCUGGCGGCGGAGAGAGGUGUUGCAGCAGUGGUAGGAGGUGGUGUUAGCAAAUGAGCCAUUGGGUAACGUUAGCCCCGGACAAUAACAAGAUGUGGAUGUUAUUUGAAUAAGUGGUGUGAUCUGAUGGUGGAAAUCCAUUGGCUCAUUCCAGAUAAGGUUCC